rnacentral:rRNA from 1 species
GAUGAACGCUUUCUUCUUUCCUAAUACAUGCAAGUCGAGCGAACAGACGAGGAGCUUGCUCCUCUGACGUUAGCGGCGGACGGGUGAGUAACACGUGGAUAACCUACCUAUAAGACUGGGAUAACUUCGGGAAACCGGAGCUAAUACCGGAUAAUAUAUUGAACCGCAUGGUUCAAUAGUGAAAGACGGUUUUGCUGUCACUUAUAGAUGGAUCCGCGCCGCAUUAGCUAGUUGGUAAGGUAACGGCUUACCAAGGCAACGAUGCGUAGCCGACCUGAGAGGGUGAUCGGCCACACUGGAACUGAGACACGGUCCAGACUCCUACGGGAGGCAGCAGUAGGGAAUCUUCCGCAAUGGGCGAAAGCCUGACGGAGCAACGCCGCGUGAGUGAUGAAGGUCUUCGGAUCGUAAAACUCUGUUAUUAGGGAAGAACAAAUGUGUAAGUAACUAUGCACGUCUUGACGGUACCUAAUCAGAAAGCCAAGGCUAACUACGUG